rnacentral:rRNA from 1 species
AUGUGGUACCCCUGGCCGUUGCUUCAUUCAAACAUCGCGGCUGCCAAGAGCACUGCUACACAGACGACGAUCAUUGGAUUAUUCAUCGGCCCAGGAUCGUGCAACCACAUGUCGUCUGUGAAGCCAAGCACGAGAUCACCCCACCCCAAGUUAACCAGUCCAAGAUCCUUGCAAAACAGCACGAGGCCCCAGGUGCUGCUGGCCGGGCUGGCCGUCCUCGCCGUCCUAGCGGCAGCUCUGCCUCUUGCCCGCGCUACGCUGUGCUGCGACAAGUGCGGCAUCUGCACCGGGUCCUUGCCGCCGCAGUGCAGAUGCAUGGACACCUCGCCUACCGGGUGCAACCUGGCCUGCAAGACCUGCGCCAAGUCCACCGUCGGCGGCCGUGACAGCUUCCAGUGCAAGGAUUUCAUCACCAACUUCUGCAAGACCCGCAGCACUAAGGCCGCGUGA